UCAACACCUCCCCUUUUUCCACCGUUAAUUCAUUGUCAUGGAAACUGAAUUUAUCAAAAUGUUCUCGUUCACUCCUAGUGACCCAGUGAGUCGACUUACAGAGCUGGUGAAAGCAUUUUCCUUUGCUGAUUUCUAGCCCAAGGAUACAAAAAUCCCUCAGCUCUUCAUCACAAUCAUCUCUCCUUAUCUCUUGUUAAAGAUUUUCAUCAGGAUCACUCCAACUUCCGGAGAGUUACUGCUGAUUUACACUGGUGUAAGUGAGAAGAACAUCAGGCCCAAUCUGAAGGACCUGACUUAGAGACAACUGCAAAGGAUUUCAGAGACGCUAUCCUCAGUUCCCCCUGCUGUGCCUUGCAAUCAUCCGUGGCUGGGGAGGAGGAUGGAAGGGGAGAGAGAGAGAGCGAGCGAGCUGUUGAGUAAAUGAAGCAUUACCCAUGACUGCUGCACCACCACCGUCUGUGCUUGUACAAGCACCGUAUACCCGCUUCCGAGCAUAACAAAGGUAACUCAUUUCCUCGUGCUUUCCAUGCUCAAGGACAACAGUUACCUUCACCACAGAGAGAAUAAGGACUGGCUGGUGUAAUUUUGGAAAUAUGUAGCAAUUACUCGCUGCAGAAACUCAGAUCCCAGCUCUUCUUAAUGAAGAAUGACAAAGACCUGGGUUCAAAGAGGGUGGCCCACAGCUGCAAAGGUUCACUAUUCUGUACCAUUAGUUUGCAGAACCCCCACAUGGAUUAACUAUCCUUUCCUUUUUUCCUCCCUUCUUUCCAACUUGUUUUCAUGAUCUGGUCAGCUUCUUAGUGUCUCAUCUAUUCCUCUCUUCUUUUCCUUUGCAUGGUGUGCUUACUAAUGAUCAGAUUAGGCUCAUUUGAUUAUUCCCUCUUUAUAUUACCUCUGUUUUUGACUUACUAUAUCUUAAAAUUUAAGAAUAUUUAUGCUUUCUUGACAUAACCUAUUCACUUACUUUAUUUAAAUGAAUGGCAUCAAAUGUUUCCUUAUUUUCCAAAUUCUUUUAACCAUGCAGUCUUUGUAGUUUUCCAUACUCAGGUGAAACCUCCUUGGUUUCUUUUAUUGUUCUCUAUAUAUGUAUGUAUCCAGGCAGAAAUACGCUUAAAGUGCUGGCUUAAAAUAACAAAAUUCAAGAAGUUCAGAAUUAAAGCUCAUUUCAGUGUGAUAUGCCUAAGUAUACAUCACAGCUGUAUAAAGCUAUACUCUGCUGUAUGUGUUUGAUUCCUCCUGAAAUGGACACAAUCAGAUAGGUAAAGCUGGAACACGUAGCUUAAUACUUGAAUUUCCAGGUUUUAUUCAGUUUAAAACAGACACUUGGCAAUUUUUAAUGGGGGUGAAGGGUUGGUUUGUUUGUUUGCGUAUUUAUUUGUUUUGUUUCAUGUUUACAAUUACUCUGUGAAGAUAAUUUUGGAUGAAAAUAAGCAAAUAUAUCUGAAGAGAGGGUCUGAGAGAUAUCUGAAGAGCUGACCUCCCUGCUUUGAAUUGGAAGUUGUUUGGAACAAUAGUUGUCCUUUCUGAAUUUUACCUGCUGAGUGUUGGUUUUGGAACAAUAGAUUUUUCAAAAGCACUUAGGAGCACAAGUCUCAUUUAUUUUACAUGGCACAUAGACACCUAAGUCCCUUUGUGGAUCUAGCCUUAGGUGACUUUGGAGCACAACUGCUACUUUAGGAACCAAAGUCCAAAAUUUAGAUUCUCAAACCCUCCCACUCAGUUGCCACUCAACUUUGUAGGUGCCUAAAGUCCCCAGGCAUCUAGGCCUCUGUCAACAAAGUCUGGUAAGUUACUAUAAAUCUGCCAGUGAACAUGCAAAUUGAUGUCUAAGUCUCAAUCUCCUGCACCUAUCUCCUGUAUAAGACUCUGAGGGAUCCUCAGACUCGUCUUUCCCCUGUGCAAUCUGGUAAGCAUUUUCAGAGGCUAACUGAUCAGUCCCCACACAAAACACACCUGCUGAAGGAGUUGGUAGUGGUGCCCCCAUAAUCUUUAGCCCAGAGCUCUCACCCUGGAUAUGGGAGACCUGGGUUCGAAUCCUCACUUGGCCUAAUAUAGAGCAGGGAUUUGAGCCUCUGUUGCCCACUUUUUUAGGACAGGGCUUCAACUACUUGGCUAUGGGAUAUUCUUCCCUAGGAAUCACUCCUGUUGGAACUAUUCCACUUUGUACAAAUAAUCAUUGGAGCAGGGACUUGAGUUUGGGUUCCUGAGUGCUCUAAUCACUUGGCUAUAGAGUCAUUCUCACUCUGUUUCAAAGACUAUUUAAUUAUUUAUACAAAGUGGAAGAACUUCAGAAGGAGAGCCAUCUAUCCCAGGGUAUGCCAUAGGCUACUGGUUAGGGCACUGUUCGAGCUUUAAGGUAGGCUGGGGUAGGGCUUGUCAACUCCCUAGAACGUGCUGCAAAUUGUAUAGUUGAACAUUAUUUCUCCAGAUAAUUGUCUGUCACCACAUUACUUCACUGGGCUUUGAAGGAACUCAGUGCCUUGCAGGAGUUGCUGACACCUUCUAGGACUGGACCUUAAAUCUAUACAACUGUCCAGAAUAACUAAAAAAAUCUUACACUCCUAUUGCUUGUCCAAAGUUGAUUAUAAAAAAGAAAAAUAAAGUGUAUAGCACUGGGAAACUGCUGAUGUCCACAUGUGAUGGGGGAAAAAAAAGGCAGAGAGAGAGAAAACAAGGUUGAUCAUUAACAAAUACAGAUCACGGCUCUUGUUAGCACUGAGCUAGUUGCUUUUGCAAAGCCAGUCAAAGGAGGUUAAACCCUGGGGUAAUACACUAAUAUUCUCAAAGGUGGUAGCUGUUGCUUUAAUUUUGAGCACUUCAUAUCUGUUUAUUCUCUAACCUUAAUUGUGUUGGACUAUAAUAACCUUACAAAAAUCAUUUAUAAAAAUUGGGCUGAUUUUGAAUGCUGUUAAAUAAUACUAAUUUGUUGCUCUCAUGCUCUGCCAGUGUUUUAAUGUUUGUAGAGCAAAUAAGGAAUUUCUAAACAGUCCCAGAGGGGCAUUGUGCUAAUUCUUUGUGUGAGAAAAGCCUAAUAAUUUGAGCAUGCCUUAAGCACUACUAGUUUAUGAUAAGGACUUUAUAAAAAUGCAAUGGCUCUUUAACUGAUGGCUCAGUUAAAAUACUAUGGAGUAUAAUUGGCUAGGAAAGGAAAAUUCUAUUCUCCCAUGGAUUGUAUAUAAGUGAAUGAAGCUUCCUAUUCUCCCCAUAAAUGCACUUCAAAGUGUAAGUGGGAUUCCUCUAUGAAGAUCUUAUUGUUUAGGGUCACUAUGUUUGAAGGUAUGAAUACUUUUGGCAUUAAGAGCUUUCCCUCUCUAAAAAAAGUCCUCUCCUAAGUGGAUGUAUUACUUUAAAAAGAGAGAGAAAGAGAAACGCUGUGGGAUGAACAACUCUCAUCUUGGCAUGUCUAUUGCAAAUCCACACAAAUUCAUGUACUGGGUGUUCCUAAUACAAAAAGGAUAUUUUACUAAAUAACUCUUUCUGAGGUGCUAAGGGCCAGCAACAUGAAAAUAAGAGGCAUCAUUUCCACUUAACAAAUUACGAACUAUACAAUCAAGAUAAGAGUGAUUUAUGAUCCGCUUGCUAGACCAGUCACACAAGUGCACUGCUUUUAGAAUUCAGUGAAAGGCAGACGCAUUGUCAGCUAUUGAUAUUAUUAACAAGUGACAUUAAUGUAUCACUGUAUGGGAAUGUACGUAGUUUAAUAUUCAAUGGAGAGCUCUAAUUGUAGUUAGCUGUUUGGAAUAUGCACAUCCAUUAUUCACAGAUGCAAGAUGUGGAUUUUUAUUGAUUUCUUUUGACUAUGUAUAAAAAAAGCAGUUAAAACAUCUUAUUGUUGAUCACUUUUUACACAUGUGUGAAGUAGCCUGGUCAAAGCUGCAGGAGCAACACAAAGAGAAGACUGUGACAGGAGAUGCAGAUAUAGCAGUCUCUUACGCUAUAUCAUUUUAGGUUUUCACCCACUGAAAGCCUAAUGGAACUGCAUUACUUUGUAUUCCUGUGAAUAAGGACUUGCACACAUUCUGCAUGAUAAUGUGCACUUUGGGUUAAAAUGUGCACUUCUGGGCUAAACUAAUAUUUUUUUCCACAGGCAGACAUAGCUGCAAUUUCAAUGUGCACUGUUUUUAAAAGCUUCUCUUAUGAAACCAUUUCUUCAGGAAUCAGGGCACAUGUGUGUAGAAAGAGCAUAAAUAUGGUAGUGCAUUUUUCUUUCACCUCCAGUCCCCUCUGUGUAUUAUGUUGACCUUCAGUGGGACUUGUGGACCCAAGCCUGUUAGAUGCUUUUAAAAAUGUCACCCUGAAUGUACUUUAAACAUUGUUGAAGAUUGCUAUGAUUUCUUUUAUGUUUCCCUAUCAUAUUUGUUAGAGUCACUUAACUAGUCACAUAGUUUGAAUUGUCUACAUAUGAUCCUGUUUUCCGCAUAUGGUAUUGACUAACGCUACUCUUAAAAGAAUGGUUAAUUCGAGUCUUCUGUAAGGUUUUGGACUUAGAUGUUGUCUUUGUAAGAAUUCCAUUGGCUCCCAUAAAUGUAAGUUGUCAUUAUUUCUCUCACUUCUCUGGCAUCAUACCUUUGAUCUUCAAUUUGCAUAGUGUGUGGUGGCUGUCUCACUAUGGUGAGGUAACAGCUAUAGUUGGCUUCCUGCUAUUUUCAAGUACAACUAUUAGUCUGGACAACGGUUUUCUUAGCCAUCGUAAUAGCUUUGUUUCUUCUGUUGUUGUUCAAAUUUUAUUUGUAAGUCCAGAUUACAAAGCUUAGGUCUGAGUUGCUGGGCUUGUUUUUGACUGAUGUCCCAUUAGUACUUGUGAUAGAAAUGUUAAGUCUCGAUUGGCAAAUUCCCAAGAUUCAGUUGGAUUAAGCAGAGUUCUUUAUUAUAAUAUUCACAAUAAUACUUAACUUUUAUAUAAUGCCUUUCAUCCAUAGAUGUAAAAGUGCUUUACAAAAGAAGACUAGUAUCACUAUUCCCAUUUUACAGAUAAAGAAACUGAGGCACAGAAAAGUAAAGUGACUUGCUGACGGUCACAUGUCCAGUUGGUAACAUAGCAAGUCCAGCACUCUAUACGCUACGUCAUGCUGUUUAAACGUCUUUCAUAGAGAUUGUAUGAUAUUCACUGAACUCUCAGCUACCUCAUCAUUUGGUGAAGCUGACGUGAUUUUUCUCAAGCUCUGCUAUGUCUUAGCAAAUACUUGAAAUCCCACACUUAAGUACUGCAGUCCACUGUCAGUGACAUAUUUUAUGUCACUCAUCAUAUUGUAGAUUGAUAUGGCUAAUCUUGGUACUACUGCUUCUCUUGGUCAUUUUGGAAAUCUCAAUGAAUGCAGAAUACUAAUCAAUUAAAAAUAAAUAGGUUUUUCUGACAGUUUGAAAGGGUCCCUAUGAAGGUAACAGGGAAAUGGAACAAGGUAAUAAAUAAUUUAUAACUGGAGAAAAUUAAUCAAGAACCCCCAAUUCCCACUGUCCCCACACACAGGUGCUCAAUUACACAACUUCUUAGAAGAGGCAAGAGAGCAAUAACUAGGUGUCUGUGACAUAAAUGACUUUUAUUAUUAGGGAAGAAGGUAUUCAAACAUAUAAAUACAGUAAAGUAAUCGAUUCAAAUUACAAUAUGAUAUGUUUAUUGUGUAGAGUGCUUUUUAUUAAGCUAUAUCCCAAAACUCUUUACAAAAUUAAAUAAUAUAUUUCACUAUAUCAUAUAAAUGACAGGUAUCAGCAAUAGUGUAGAGACUUUUUAUGGUGAAUGGAUGAGAUCAUAAAACAAUUCAGAGGAGGGAAGGAGGAAGAAAUUAGGAGGCAUAAAUGGGGGAGAAAAGAUUGUAUUUCAAGUAAAAUGUAAAGAAAGAUGGAGAGCUGAUGAGCUUGAUCUCACAUCAUUAAAAGUGAUGGAAGUUAUUCCAUUGGCUUCAUUGGGAGCAGGAUCAAGUAGUAAGAGAGUAACAAGGAAGCACAGGGAGUGAAAGAGGAGAAGACUUUUGUCAACAGAGGGGAAACUAUAUGAAGAGACAAGAAAAUUGCAGAUUUGGGUGAAAGGAGGGAGCAGGGAGGAAAGUAACGAGGGACGGGAGGUCCCUGGAGAGGUUUAAUAAUGAUCCACCAAUAAUGAAUGGAAUGAUUCAUUCCAUUUUGACACCAGCAUAGCUCUGCUGAAAUUAGCUAACUGAAAUCAGUGGAGCUACAUCAGCAGAAAAGUAGAGGAGUGUUGCUUCGGUGAAUCAAGACCAUGGAACAGCAUCUUGAAAUGGCUUCUGAGGUGAAUGCAGAGCCAGUGGAGUUGUUUGAGAAGGGGGAAGAUGUUGCCAUGUUUCUCUGUAUGUGUGUGAAGUCAGGAAGCAGAGGUGAACAAAUGCUGGUGUCUAGAAGUCUAGGAUUUGGGGAGGCCAUACAUAAGUGAAUUGCAAUAGUUCAGGUGAGAGGAAAUGAAGGCAUGGAUAUAGAUUCUGUAUGUUAGUGAGAACAAACCUCUCUAUUCCAUUGCUAACUUUGCCAUCCUUCUAUAUACAGGUGUGUAGCGAGCUUACUUAGAAAUUUAGUUGUGGCACUUGACUCUGAUGGGGUUGAAACUCCUUGUGCAAAUUCAAUGGGAUGGUCACGUGGCUCUUCCAGUGCGAGAACCUGGUGUGGCUGCUGCCAUUUUUCAUUGGGCCUCCAUUUGGGCGAUUUGGAUUUGGAUUUUUUUUAAAUUAGCUGAGUGCCAGGAUACUUUGGCAGCAGUACCCUAGUAUAAACAACUAAAUUAAUGGCAUUACAUUCAAAAAUCCCUUCCUAGCUUUUUCGUGGCCUCCUGUUGGGUAUUUCAUGACCCUUCCUCAGCUCUGUUAUGUGGGGGACUCUUCUGAAUCCACGUGACUAAGUGACUAAUCAUGGCUGCUAUCUUUCCACUCAUUACAACACAGAAUACAUUCUCCUAUCCUUUUUCUUACAUUGCUCAGCACCUAGAUGGUGGCUGGAAGUUUAUUAAUAAGUAUCCCAUUUUUUAACAUUGGGAAAAUGUUACCUACUUAGUGCCUUCAUCUCUUUCCCAACUGACCAGGAUGAUCUCAAGUUGAGGGAUAAAACUCUGUACACUCUCUCUCUCUCUGACACCUCAUUAA